rnacentral:lncRNA from 1 species
UGCUGCUGACAUGUUUCACAAGGCCAGCCAUAUUGCUCACUACAAUUUCCAGCUAUGGACACAGUGUGUGAUUUCAGUUUUCUUCCUUCCUGUUUAUUCCACCUUCUGUGUGUUUAUGUGCCAUCUCCUGCAGCCCAUGUUUGACUGCUGCUCUGACAAGGCAUGAUCCCUUAGUGGAGCAGAGCUGGCAUCCCAUAAUGCUUCCUUCCCUUGGGGAAUGCUGGCACUGGGUGACUUCAAGCCUGAUUUUGAGAACUGUUCCAAGGGCUGUGUUUCUCUGCAGAGCAUUGGCUGUUCCUUGACAUGCCCACUUCUUUCUGGUCUCCCACUGUAUGGAGGAUCCAUGCCAACUACAGGGCCAUGCCAAUGAUCCACACUUUGCAGCUGUGCCAUCUUGGGCUUCCAUAUUCAUUUAGUCAGGCUCUGCAGAGAGAGCCUUCAGUAUGUCUAAAAGUUCUGGAGAGAUGGCACAGUAGUUAAGAGGUUAAAGUGUGCAUCACUUUUGUAGAGGAUUUAAGUUCUGUUCCUGUACCCGUGUCAGGUGGCUAGUUCACAACUCUCUGUAACUCUAGUACCUGGAAACCCAACUCUCUGGCUUCUAUAGGAAUACCCCCCUACCCUGCCCCCACACACAUACUUUAAAAUAAAUCUUAAACAACAGUCAGUUCUCAUUCCAAUGGCUCAUUGCUCCAGCCUUACUCCUGAGGCCUGCAGUAUCCUGCCCUAGAGUCUGGCCAUGUCUUCUCCUGCCCCUUCCUUGCCUCUGCAGCUAUAUUCUAGCCAUAUUUCCAAUCCACUCUCACAGCCUCCAGCCUCAGCCUCGCUGUGUCCUCAGCCUCUCUGUGUUUCCAUCGUCCUCUGUGAGGCUUGCCUGGGCUGACAGGGCCGUCAUCGCUCUCCUCCUGCUUGUGCUUUUCAGAACAACAGUUACUACUUGAUAUAACAUUGCUGUGUGACCUGCUUUAUCACUGUUUCCUGCACUGGAGGAUGAACCUAGGGACAGGACCUGACAUGUCUCUCGAGUUUUUGUGUCCAAAAUGUGCUGAUAAUAGGUGCUUACUAAACAUAUGGACUGAAAGAAUUCAGUCCUCACAGCAGUGAGAUGAGACUCUUGUCUGAUUUUCUGUGGUGGUUUGAAUGACAGUGACUCUAAUAAGCUCAUAUAUUUGAAUGUUUGGUUCUGAGUCAGUGGAACUGUUUAGGAAGGAUUAGGAGGUGUGGCCUUGUUUGGUGGAGGUGUGUCACUGGAGAUGGCUUUUGAGGUUUCAGAAGCCCUUGCCAGCCCAGUCUCUCUGCUUGCUGCCUGAGGGACUAACCCUCUGAAACUAUAAGUAAGUUCCCCCAACUAAAUGUUUCCUUUUUUUAUAACUUAUCUUGGUCAUGGUGUCUCCUCAAACGAUAGAACAGUAACUAAGUUGGUACCCAGGCACCGGGGUAUUAUUAUGAUGUUGUGAGGUAUCCAUCAGAGAAGGCCACUCAGACACAGUGGUUCAAGCCAAUGGAAAGUCUUUAUUAGACUUCUGCCUAGGCUUUUGGGACCUGAGUGUAGUCUUGGGUCUUUUUCAAGGUGAGCUUUUUUUUUUUUUGGUUUUGGUUUUUCGAGACAGGGUUUCUCUGUGUAGCCCUGGCUGUCCUGGAUCUCACUUUGUAGACCAGGCUGGCAUCAAACUCAGAAAUCCGCCUGCCUCUGCCUCCCAAGUGCUGGGAUUAAAGGCGUGCGCCACCACCACCCAGCUCAAGGUGAGCUUUUAAGCACAGAAAUUAUGUCUUGGAUUGACAUAUUCAGUUAACAAGAUCAGUUAGUCAGAAGCAGAACUACAGGUAGUCAGGAGCCAAAAAACAAGGUUAGUACAUUUAGGGACUUUCCUAAAUGCUAUUUUGGGGGAAAUAUGGAGGACUUUGGACUAGAAAGCUCUAAGAAGGCUAUCAGAAUGCUCAGUGGACUAUCCUGGUGAGAGCAUGGGAGACAGAGCAGUGUAGACUGUGGAGGCCUGGCAUGUGAGAGGUUUCAGAGGGGUUGGAACACCUAGGGUAGAGACCUUUCAUGUGAUAUUUUUGCCAAAGAAUGUGGCCACUUUUUGCCCUUGUCCAAAAAAUCUGUCAGACACAAAACUGAAGAGUUUCGGACUAAUGUUGUUGACAGAGAUUUUAAGAGAACUUUAUGGAGGCCCAGAGAGGCCAUUGCAUGAAGCUGUGAAGGUUUAGCCUUGAUUGCAUUAGGGACACUGCUGGAUUCUGGAGAUGCCAGAGUUGUGGGAUACCUGGCAGAGGACAGACCAGGGGUGGAAUGGGAGAGGGAGAUACAAAAAGUUAUCCAAGCCCUGGGACAGCUGAUGUGGAGAUGUAGAAUUUGGGGUCUCACAUGCUGGUUUUCAGUUUCACUGGUCCAGUAUUUCCUAUUUUUCUCUCUUGAAUGGUAAUGUAUGCUAUGUCAUUGUAUCUUGGAAGUAUAUGAUCUCCUUUUUGAUUUUACAGGGGGUUUAUAGUUAAGAGAUUGCCUUGCGUUUCAGAAGUAACUUUGGACUUUGAAAUUUUAAACAGUGUUAAAAUCAUGAAAGACUAUGGGGACUUUUGAAGUUGAACUCAAUGCAUUUUGUAUUCUGUGUGGCGAUGAGCCUGUGGCUAGGGCGUGGAAUGUGGUGGUUUCAAUGAGAAUGCUCCCCCCAACCCCAAAUCAUUGAAACAAAACACUGAAAGUUUUGUUCCUAGUUCGUAAAAGAAGUACAGCUUGUAGGAAGAGGUGUAUUACUGGAGGUGGUCUUUGAGGUUUCAAAAGCCCUUGCCAGCCCAGCUCUCUUUCUGCCUGUUGUCUGAGGAUCAGGAUGUAAGCAUGUGGGUACUGUUCCAGCUUCAUGCCUGCUGCCAUGUUCCCCUCCAUGAUAGUCAUAGACUAACCUUCUGAAACUGUAAGCAAGCCCCUCUUUAAGUGUUUUUUCUCAUGGUGUUUUAUCACAUCAAUAGAACCCUAGCUGACUUCUUAUAGAGAAAUUAAAGCCAAGGGUCAGUCGUCUUUUCUGCAUCAUCUGGCCAGUGCUGGCUCGGAAGCCCUCUCCUCCUCAUGGUCUGCCUGACACUGCUAUGAUGUCCACUACAGUCGGUUAAUCUGCCUAGGAUGGCACCUGACUCCACAGGUUCAUAAGAUUUUUCCAGUUUCCUUUUCACAAGGCCUGGUACUUCAGGUGCCAUUGUUUUCCCAGUCUGCUUUGUUAUUCUAGUCUACUGGAAACUCAUCACUGGAGAGGAAGCCGCCUUUUUACAUGUCCUGUGGCUAACUACGCCAGAGCUGCACUGUCCAUUACUCAGGAGACAUCACCCAGGGAAGCUAUAUCCUGGUUUUCCUCUCCUUUCCUCUCCCUCCUUCCUCUCCUCUUUCUCUGUCUUUGUAGCAGGAAAUAUU